rnacentral:rRNA from 1 species
GACGAACGCUGGCGGCGUGCUUAACACAUGCAAGUCGAACGGAAAGGCCCUGCUUUUGUGGGGUGCUCGAGUGGCGAACGGGAGAGUAACACGUGAGUAACCUGCCCUUGACUUUGGGAUAACUUCAGGAAACUGGGGCUAAUACCGGAUAGGAGCUCCUGCUGCAUGGUGGGGGUUGGAAAGCUUCGGCGGUUGGGGUUGGACUCCCGGCUUUUCGGCUUGUUGGUGGGGUAGUGGCUUACUAAGGCUUUGACGGGUAGCCGGCCUGAGAGGGUGACCGGCCACGUUGGGACUGAGAGACGGCCCAGACUGCUACGGGAGGCAACAGUGGGGAAUAUUGCGCAAUGGGCGGAAGCCUGAUGCAGCAACGCCGCGUGCGGGAUGACGGCCUACGGGUUGUAAACCGCUGUCGCCUGGGACGAGGCGUGAGUGACGGUAAUGAGUAAAGAAGCACCGGCUAACUACGUG